CACUUCUGAUGGAGCACUGGAACAGGUUGCCCAGAGAUGCUGUGGGGUCUCCCUCCUUGGAGAGCUUCAAAAGCUGCAUGGACAUGGUCCUGGGCAACUUGUAAAUCUCUGAGGUGGCAGCUUUUUACACCAGUUUGCAACAAUUUACUAAGAAAUAAACCUUUUACACCACUGGUCUUAUGAGAACAUACCAGCCUUCUCAGAAGAAGGAUUCAUUAGAGCUAUUUUUCUGAAUCUGAACUAUCCUUUGAAAGCAAGUUUUCCAGCUUAACCAUCAAAAAAUAUGAACAUGAGCUUCAUUCACAAGAGAUACUCUGGUAAUAACAACACAGAAAAAAAGAAAACAAUGAAUGACAAAUAUAAUAGAACUGGAUUUGAACUGAAACGUUGUUUCA